rnacentral:lncRNA from 1 species
GGUCCAGAUGCGCUAAAGAACAACAGUUUGGAAAGUAAAUAUGUGUCGAGUCUCGAUGUGGCAGCGACCGUUCUCAAUGCAAUUGGCGUGGAGAAAAGCGAAUUUAUGAGAGGCCAAGUUUUGGAACAAAUUUAUCCGUGAACAUUAUCAGUAACCGUUUGCGGUCUAGGUAAAAGGUGUGAAAAUCAGUAGAAAAGUUACACAAUAAAAUAUAUAAUAAAUUUCGACUCACAGAAUAAAAAUGACGUGUAAUUUAAAAUGGCGGUAUUAAAAAUUAUUCUAAUUUUCAUUAUUUACAAAAGACUAUAGGGUAUAAUCAUAAAAAACUAGCGUGUAUUGUUAGUUCGUAAUUGUUGAUAUUUUCAACAUAUUCCGUCCAUGUAAAUUUCUUGUCGACUCGAUUUAUAGUUCAAUGAAAUUUACUGAAAUAUAAGGAUAUUAAGUAGAUAUUCAAUGAAUAAAAAGAACUCUUAAAAUGUCUGUCUCAUGUCCACACAUAUAUGUUACACUUUGUAUGGCUUUUGUCUUCCUUUAUGCUUUUGUUUAUCUCGGAUGUGCGA